rnacentral:rRNA from 1 species
UAGGGAAUCUUCCACAAUGGACGCAAGUCUGAUGGAGCAACGCCGCGUGAGUGAAGAAGGUUUUCGGACCGUAAAGCUCUGUUGUUGGUGAAGAAGGAUAGAGGUAGUAACUGGCCUUUAUUUGACGGUAAUCAACCAGAAAGUCACGGCUAACUACGUGCCAGCAGCCGCGGUAAUACGUAGGUGGCAAGCGUUGUCCGGAUUUAUUGGGCGUAAAGCGAGCGCAGGCGGAAGAAUAAGUCUGAUGUGAAAGCCCUCGGCUUAACCGAGGAAUUGCAUCGGAAACUGUUUUUCUUGAGUGCAGAAGAGGAGAGUAGAACUCCAUGUGUAGCGGUGGAAUGCGUAGAUAUAUGGAAGAAUACCAGUGGCGAAGGCGGCUCUCUGGUCUGCAAACUGACGCUGAGGCUCGGAAGCAUGGGUAGCGAACAGGAUUAGAUACCCUGGUAGUCCAUGCCGUAAAACGAUGAGUGCUAAGUGUUGGGAGGCUUCCGCCUCUCAGUGCUGCAGCUAACGCAUUAAGCACUCCGCCUGGGGGAGUACGACCGCAAAGGUUG